GACACGAUAGCUCAGUUGGUAAAUCCACGGUAACGUGAUUUUCCACAGGUUGCGGGUUCGAAUCCUGCUCGUGUUU
rnacentral:tRNA from 1 species